AUAUGAGCCCUCACAAAGUGUAUGAGUUUAUUAUGCAUUGCCGGUUGUCUUUCAAGAAAGAUUUUGCCAAUUUAUACACAUGUGCCUGUUUAGCAUAUUUUUUAAAGCCAGUACACAUAAAAGGACAUCAUGCAUAUAAUCAGCAGAGCAUCAUUUUAUAAAUAUUUAAGUGGGAAGGGAAAAAUUGUCAAGAAGGUAAGGGCUGAACCAUCAGGAUUUGGGGAAUUUUGGGGUUUGAGGCAGGGGAUGGAUAGAAAUGUCUAACUUUUCUCUCAUUAAAAUAGAAAUUAUUCAAGAAAGAAAAUGCACUGAAGAGCAAAUCUGUGAAAUUGAACUCUUCAUCCUGUUAAAAGGCCCCAAAACAUCAAACUGACUUAGCCAACUCCCAUCUCCAAAUGUGAUGCCCAGGCAGAUUCUUCACCAGCUGAGCUACCAGAGAAGUCUGAGUUAGCAGGGAAGCCUGUCAUCUCUUCUACUAAAGCACUAUAUGGAUAAAUGUCUUCUCAGUUGAAAAAAUAAUGCACCCCCAAACAGACUCAUGUUAGAUACAUUUCAAAGUAUAUACAAUCCACUGAUCUUUAACUUAAAGCAUUCUGAAAUACUGUGAACCCAAAAAGGAUUACAUUAAGUAAAACUAUACAUAUUGUAAAAGCUAAAAAUAAAUCUUUUAAUCAUGGGGCUGUUAAUUUGAAGAAGAAUGUGAUACCUCAUGUGCCCAGCCUCCUUUACCCUUCACUUGAGAUGACUGUAAGAUGUGAAAAAUAAACGUGUAUUUAUCUAAACUGUAAUUCGGUGUAACAUCUGUAGUUAACUCAUACUGUUGUGAAGCACUAAGAAGGCCUGUAU
ensembl:lncRNA